UACGAAGGGGCUAGCGUUGCUCGGAAUCACUGGGCGUAAAGGGUGCGUAGGCGGGUUUUUAAGUCAGGGGUGAAAUCCUGGAGCUCAACUCCAGAACUGCCUUUGAUACUGAAGAUCUUGAGUCCGGGAGAGGUGAGUGGAACUGCGAGUGUAGAGGUGAAAUUCGUAGAUAUUCGCAAGAACACCAGUGGCGAAGGCGGCUCACUGGCCCGAUACUGACGCUAAGGCACGAAAGCGUGGGGAGCCAAACAGGG
rnacentral:rRNA from 1 species